rnacentral:rRNA from 3 species
AGGGCGCACGGUGGAUGCCUUGACACUAGGAGUCGAUGAAGGACGGGACUAACGCCGAUAUGCUUCGGGGAGCUGUAAGUAAGCUUUGAUCCGAAGAUUUCCGAAUGGGGAAACCCACCAUACGUAAUGGUAUGGUAUCCUUAUCUGAAUACAUAGGAUAAGGAAGACAGACCCAGGGAACUGAAACAUCUAAGUACCUGGAGGAAGAGAAAGCAAAUGCGAUUUCCUGAGUAGCGGCGAGCGAAACGGAACAUAGCCCAAACCAAGAGGCUUGCCUCUUGGGGUUGUAGGACAUUCUAUACGGAGUUACAAAGGAACGAGGUAGACGAAGCGACCUGGAAAGGUCCGUCGUAGAGGGUAACAACCCCGUAGUCGAAACUUCGUUCUCUCUUGAAUGUAUCCUGAGUACGGCGGAACACGUGAAAUUCCGUCGGAAUCUGGGAGGACCAUCUCCCAAGGCUAAAUACUCCCUAGUGAUCGAUAGUGAACCAGUACCGUGAGGGAAAGGUGAAAAGCACCCCGGAAGGGGAGUGAAAGAGAUCCUGAAACCGUGUGCCUACAAAUAGUCAGAGCCCGUUAACGGGUGAUGGCGUGCCUUUUGUAGAAUGAACCGGCGAGUUACGAUCCCGUGCGAGGUUAAGCUGAAGAGGCGGAGCCGCAGCGAAAGCGAGUCUGAAUAGGGCGUUUAGUACGUGGUCGUAGACCCGAAACCAGGUGAUCUACCCAUGUCCAGGGUGAAGUUCAGGUAACACUGAAUGGAGGCCCGAACCCACGCACGUUGAAAAGUGCGGGGAUGAGGUGUGGGUAGCGGAGAAAUUCCAAUCGAACCUGGAGAUAGCUGGUUCUCCCCGAAAUAGCUUUAGGGCUAGCCUUAAGUGUAAGAGUCUUGGAGGUAGAGCACUGAUUGGACUAGGGGUCCUCAUCGGAUUACCGAAUUCAGUCAAACUCCGAAUGCCAAUGACUUAUCCUUAGGAGUCAGACUGCGAGUGAUAAGAUCCGUAGUCAAAAGGGAAACAGCCCAGACCGCCAGCUAAGGUCCCAAAGUGUGUAUUAAGUGGAAAAGGAUGUGGAGUUGCUUAGACAACUAGGAUGUUGGCUUAGAAGCAGCCACCAUUUAAAGAGUGCGUAAUAGCUCACUAGUCGAGUGACUCUGCGCCGAAAAUGUACCGGGGCUAAAUACACCACCGAAGCUGCGGAUUGAUACCAAUGGUAUCAGUGGUAGGGGAGCGUUCUAAGGACAGUGAAGUCAGACCGGAAGGACUGGUGGAGUGCUUAGAAGUGAGAAUGCCGGUAUGAGUAGCGAAAGACGGGUGAGAAUCCCGUCCACCGAAUGCCUAAGGUUUCCUGAGGAAGGCUCGUCCGCUCAGGGUUAGUCAGGACCUAAGCCGAGGCCGACAGGCGUAGGCGAUGGACAACAGGUUGAUAUUCCUGUACCACCUCUUUAUCGUUUGAGCAAUGGAGGGACGCAGAAGGAUAGAAGAAGCGUGCGAUUGGUUGUGCACGUCCAAGCAGUUAGGCUGAUAAGUAGGCAAAUCCGCUUAUCGUGAAGGCUGAGCUGUGAUGGGGAAGCUCCUUAUGGAGCGAAGUCUUUGAUUCCCCGCUGCCAAGAAAAGCUUCUAGCGAGAUAAAAGGUGCCUGUACCGCAAACCGACACAGGUAGGCGAGGAGAGAAUCCUAAGGUGUGCGAGAGAACUCUGGUUAAGGAACUCGGCAAAAUGACCCCGUAACUUCGGGAGAAGGGGUGCUUUCUUAACGGAAAGCCGCAGUGAAUAGGCCCAAGCGACUGUUUAGCAAAAACACAGCUCUCUGCGAAGCCGUAAGGCGAAGUAUAGGGGGUGACACCUGCCCGGUGCUGGAAGGUUAAGGAGAGGGGUUAGCGUAAGCGAAGCUCUGAACUGAAGCCCCAGUAAACGGCGGCCGUAACUAUAACGGUCCUAAGGUAGCGAAAUUCCUUGUCGGGUAAGUUCCGACCCGCACGAAAGGUGUAACGAUUUGGGCACUGUCUCAACCAGAGACUCGGUGAAAUUAUAGUACCUGUGAAGAUGCAGGUUACCCGCGACAGGACGGAAAGACCCCGUGGAGCUUUACUGUAGCCUGAUAUUGAAUUUUGGUACAGUUUGUACAGGAUAGGCGGGAGCCUUUGAAACCGGAGCGCUAGCUUCGGUGGAGGCGCUGGUGGGAUACCGCCCUGACUGUAUUGAAAUUCUAACCUACGGGUCUUAUCGACCCGGGAGACAGUGUCAGGUGGGCAGUUUGACUGGGGCGGUCGCCUCCUAAAGUGUAACGGAGGCGCCCAAAGGUUCCCUCAGAAUGGUUGGAAAUCAUUCGUAGAGUGCAAAGGCAUAAGGGAGCUUGACUGCGAGACCUACAAGUCGAGCAGGGACGAAAGUCGGGCUUAGUGAUCCGGUGGUUCCGCAUGGAAGGGCCAUCGCUCAACGGAUAAAAGCUACCCCGGGGAUAACAGGCUUAUCUCCCCCAAGAGUCCACAUCGACGGGGAGGUUUGGCACCUCGAUGUCGGCUCAUCGCAUCCUGGGGCUGUAGUCGGUCCCAAGGGUUGGGCUGUUCGCCCAUUAAAGCGGUACGCGAGCUGGGUUCAGAACGUCGUGAGACAGUUCGGUCCCUAUCCGUCGUGGGCGUAGGAAAUUUGAGAGGAGCUGUCCUUAGUACGAGAGGACCGGGAUGGACGCACCGCUGGUGUACCAGUUGUUCUGCCAAGGGCAUAGCUGGGUAGCUAUGUGCGGAAGGGAUAAGUGCUGAAAGCAUCUAAGCAUGAAGCCCCCCUCAAGAUGAGAUUUCCCAUAGCGUAAGCUAGU